AGAGAGAGACAUGCGCGCAUAUCAAUAAGCGGAGGAAAAGAAACUAACAAGGAUUCCCUUAGUAACGGCGAGUGAAGCGGGAAGAGCUCAAAUUUGAAAUCUUCAAGGUUUUACCUUGACGAAUUGUAGUUUAAAGAAGUGUUUUCUGCUGAAGUUUUGGUAAAAGUUCUUUGGAAUAGGACAUCAUAGAGGGUGAGAAUCCCGUAUUUGACCAUUAUUUUCAGCUUUGUGAUACACUUUCAAAGAGUCGGAUUGUUUGGGAAUGCAGUCCAAAAUGGGUGGUAAAUUUCAUCUAAAGCUAAAUAUUGGCGAGAGACCGAUAGCGAACAAGUACCGUGAGGGAAAGAUGAAAAGAACUUUGAAAAGAGAGUUAAACAGUACGUGAAAUUGUCAAAAGGGAAGCGUUUGACACCAGUGUUGUUUUCUCGAAAAUCAAUUAAAAAUGGCUCGAUUUUGUAUUGUCGAGACCUUAAAAGCUCACUGUACAUUUUUCGUGUCUUUUUUAAUGCACUUUUCGUUUAACAAGUCAACAUCAGUUUCUUUUGUUGUAAAAGGGUCAUUGGAAGGUGGCUUUCUUUUCGGAGAAAGUGUUUAUAGCCUUUGGCCUCUGCAAUCGAAGAGACAUGAGGUCUGCAGCGUAGACUCUUCGGGGUUAGAUACAUUUGUGCUAAGUUAUAGCUUUUUAUAGACAACUUGUUGACUAUAAUUAGUCUUGUAGCUUAGCUCGCUUAUGCUAUUUUACCUACGCUUAGGAUGUUGAAGAUGUAGCACAUCAU
rnacentral:rRNA from 1 species